rnacentral:lncRNA from 1 species
AUGUAUAAGCGUCCUGGCCAGAGGCGGGCGGUGCGCGCGGGUGCGCGUGACGCUGGGGCUCCUGGGCUUUGCGGCCUGGGCGGCGUCCCUGUGCUCAGGGUCCCCAGCCAGUUAGCUGACCAACUGGGGCUGGGGGGUGUUUGCUGGGCUGGGUCCUGUCCCUGGGCUCCGAGGAAAGGACGACGCUGUGGCCCUGGGGCUGUCCGCCUGUGGCCGGUGCUGGAGCCCGGACUGCCCUCUCCUCACCCAGGAGAGGCCGCAGAGCGCACCUCUCGCCUGGGCCCUGGGUCCUCUAACUGGGUGAAGCUUGGCCGGCUGCUGGGAUCCCCGGCCGGGAUGCACUUCAGCACUGUCACCAGGGACAUGGAAGGUGAGCCUCCCUGCCGAGUGAACUCAGAUCCUCUCGCCAGACCCCCUGCCCCUGCUGUGGUGGGGCCCAAGCAAAGAGGGUUGGCAGGGUCCGGGCGGAGAGUAGGUAGAGGGAGCACUGGUGGGAUGGGGCUUCCAGCUUGGACUCUGGGGCGGAGAGGAAGGGUGGGCAGGAUGCCCCCUCCAGCCUGGGGACCCCAACGGAGAGACCCACACCCAGCUAGACGCAGGCCCAGAAUAAGGAGAGUAAGGGGGUGGAGGACAGGAGAGGAGGCCAGAGAAAGGGAGCAGAGGUGGCUGUGAGCUCGGAGAGGUGGGAGGAAUGGGGAGAGGACUGAGGUGGGACACGGAAAAGGAAGAGCGAACGGUGGCGGCGGUGGGAAGAAAAGAUAUUGAGAAACGGAGAGAAAACCCUAAAACGGAAGGAUGAAAAACAAAGCAGAGGGCAAGAACGAUAGAGAAAAAACUGGGGAAAAUGGAAGAAACAAAGUCAAGUCACCAAAAAAAAAAUUAGACUGCAGUUUUUAUUUAAAAAAAAAAAGAGUUAAAAAGCGUGAAUAACACAGGCACAGACAGAGAUGAGAGGAAAGACAGACUGACCAAAAAGAAAGCGAUGAGGGACUAGCAGGAAAAAGAGGCUGAAGCAGAAAAUAAAACAGAAAUAACGAGACUCGAAAGAGAUAGUGGAGGGAGGACAGAGGAUGCGGAGGGGAGGUUCGCACGAGGAAGACAAAGGUAAGGAAAUAACGAAUCGGAAGGAGCCUGGAGAGAGCAGUGCUACGCGGGAGGGCGGCAGAAGGAGGGGCGGCGGGGGCGACUCGGGGGAGCCGGUCGGGCGGUGGGGG